rnacentral:lncRNA from 1 species
UUUUUGUCUUUUUGUGACUUAAGUGGGGUGUGACCAAUUGAGAUUGUGUUCACAUGUUUUUUUUUGUUUUAUUUAAAUGUGACAUUUGAUUAAAAUCUGAUUUUAAGUGGAAUUGGAUCAUGGGCCUGUUGCGUUUGAUUUUCCACCCCCAACUUUUGGGGCCCAUUUGCGUGUUAACUAUUUCCCAGUUCAUUUUCACUUUGCUAAUGCACCCCUGGCCAUUUUCUCUUAUUA